CUGGCCAUUGGGUGUCAGAGUUGUCCUGUACUUGAAUACAAUAAUAAUCAGUAUGAGUGGUUGCCGCUGCAAAAGUCAGUGGGACUGUUCUUAUGUGAGACAGCUAGUUCAAUGGAGAAAGACAGAUACUGUGAUUUUUCUACCUCAGGGUUUUACCUGAUCUUUUAAACCUCCCAUUGUUCCUGCAUGUAACAGGAGAGCCCACACAUGCUAUGUUAAUACAAUUCAAUCAUUGGGACAAAUCAACCCAGAAAGAAGGGCAUUGUUAUAUGAGCAUUGUUAUCUUUGGCAUGCACCUGGAAACAUUACAAAAUGCACUUCGCUAAUUUUCUGACACUUACUAGAAAUCACAGCAUCCCUCACUAUUUUGCUUUGUUGUCCUGCUGAUACAUUAUCACAGAGAUCUCCCUGACAAUAAAUUGCUUGAGAUUUUUCAGAGACCAGCCUGAACAGAAUGGAAAUAUGUGAGAAUAAUGUGGAGCUAAGAUAGGAAAGAAUUCUCAUUCCUGGAUGGAAAAUACAUUGCAUGGGAAAAGAUUAUGCAUUUUUCUUAUAAGCAGGCCUCUCUGGCUCCUAACAGGAUUCUUUGACAAUUACUUGCACAGAUCCUAUCAGCUCUGUCAUACUAGGCUAAUAAAACCUCUCUCGUUAAUUUUGUGGUCUUUUUUUCCCCCAGAUGUCCCAUGGUGUCAUAUACAUUGUACAAACCUUAUAUAUGCACAUAAUUGGACAAGUACUUUGAUGACUUACAACUCAUGUAACUGCAGAAUGUGCAUAAAUUGGCCCAUGAUUCAGUGGCGGUGGUGAAGUCCAGGACCUCUAUUCCUUGGGUAAUUGGAACCGGUGGAGGAGGACGCUGGAGAGUCCCUCAAUGACUGUUGGAACUGAAGAAGCGGACCGAGAACCCUCUGGAUGUUGCCGUUCCCAGGAGCAGGACAGUCCAGUGUAAAGGAGAAAGCUGUGUCCCUGAACUCUUGUGAUGUAAUCAGCUUUAUGAAGGAACAUUAUGUUUGAAGAGGGAAAGCAAGAAAGUAUCCAAUCUUCUGAUCCUGCAGAUAGCCUUAAAUGGAUGCUAGGAUCCAGGCCUAACUGAUCAGUACUACCAAACGGAUGGAUCCAGAUGGAUGUGAAAAAGAGAGGGAAGAGGAACAAAUCUUGUACUCAAAUGUAGGGUUUUCUUUUAUGGCUACGUAUUAUUAUUAUUUAUAGAAUGCUUUUAAAGUGUACACUUUGCUUUGUAAUAGACCUAUGGUCCUUCCCACUCUGAUUCAGAAAAAUAUAAUGGGUGAAAUCCUGUCCCAUUUGAAGUCUUUGGAAGUUUUCUCAUUGACCUCACUUGGACCAGGAUUUCACCCAAUAACAGGGAUACUCUACCAGGGGUUCAAUGCACCGUGAUCCCUUCUGACAACAAAAAUUACCACAGGACCCCAGGAGCAGAGGCCAACCCUGAGCCCACCUAAGCGCUGCCACCCCAGGCGGGGGGGGCUGAACACCUGGGGCUUCAGCCUUGGGCCCCAGCAAGUCUAACGCCAGCCCUGGCAACCCAUUAAAAAGGGGUCGCGACCCACUUUGGAGUCCCAACCCAUAGCUGAGAACCGCUGCAGAAAUAUUUCAUGAAUAGGGAGGGAGAUUAACAUAGGAAGAUUAUACAAAAGUGGUAAUUUUCGAGAGAUUUAGAGGCUAAGAGAAGAGGUCAUGCAAUGUAUGAAAUUACUUCAAUAUAAACUUUUAAAGAAAUUUUAGU